GGGUGUUACAGCCCUUCCCCCCUUAGGGAAAUCUCGUCCCGAGAUUUGGGUUACUAACCAUUUCUUAUGAAACUUUGGGUAAACUGUUUUUAGGUAAUCCUCGGUUUUCCAGGUAGCAUCCCUAUCAUCAUGAUGACUCCACACCACCUUAUAUGUUUUGACAACUUUGUUCCGGGUUACUCGCUCUUUGGUAUCUAUGAUACCCACUAGCUGUUCCUUAUACUCC
rnacentral:lncRNA from 1 species